UGCCAGCCGCCGCGGUAAUACGGAGGGUGCAAACGUUGCUCGGAAUUAUUGGGCGUAAGGCGCACGUAGGCGGUCCGUUAAGUCGGAUGUGAAAGCCCCGGGCUCAACCCGGGAACUGCAUUCCAAACUGGCGGACUAGAGUAUGGUAGAGGGAGGUAGAAUUUCCUGUGUAGCGGUGAAAUGCGUAGAUAUAGGAAGGAAUACCGAUGGCGAGGGCAGCCUCCUGGACCAAUACUGACACUGAGGUGCGAAAGCGUGGGGAGCAAACAGGAUUAGAUA
rnacentral:rRNA from 1 species